GCCGUCAUAGCUCAGCUGGUAGAGCACAUCCAUGGUAAGGAUGGGGUCGCAGGUUCAAGUCCUGUUGUCGGCACCA
rnacentral:tRNA from 1 species